rnacentral:lncRNA from 1 species
GGAGCUUGGAAAUGAACGGGUCAAAUGGAUACAAGUUCAAGUAUGAAGCUCGCAAGGAUGCAAGGAGUAGAUAUCCAAUGGAUACUCGCAUCGCUCUUAAUUAGCAAUUAUAAAGCAAGGUAUUAAACCGGGUUAGUAAGUUGAUCCGAGCCAGGUAUGUAUAAUAGAUUAACUCAUCAUGUAGAACUUGAAGUUCUAUGAAAGUUAGG